GCUGGGCCUGGUGUCCCAUACCUGUAGUCCCAGCUACUCAAGAGGCUAAGGGAAGAAAUUCAUUUGAGCCCAGGAGCUCUGGGCUGUAGUGUUCUAUGCCUAGUGGUAUCCGAACUAAGGUUGGCAUCAAUAUGGUGACCUCCCAAAAGUGAGGGAGCCCCCCACAUUGCCUAAAGAGGAGUUAACUGGCCUAGGUUAGAAUCAGAGCAAAUCAAAACUCACAUGCUGAUUAGUAGUGGGAUUUUGCCUGUGAAUAAUCACUCUACUCUAGCCUGGGCAACAUAGCAAGACCCUAUCUCUU
rnacentral:SRP_RNA from 1 species